GAUGAACGCUGACAGAAUGCUUAACACAUGCAAGUCGAUGGGGAAGUGGUGCUUGCACCAUGGUCACCAUGGCGGACGGGUGAGUAACGCGUAAGGAACUUACCUGCGGGACCGGGAUAACAGCAGGAAACUGCUGACAAGACCGGAUAAGGUCAUUAAGCUGCAUAGCUUAGUGAUGAAAGGAGACGCCUGCGGAGAGCCUUGCGUCCUAUUAGCUAGUUGGAGGGGUAACGGCCCAACACGGCGAAGAUAGGUAGCCGGCCUGAGGGGGUGGACGGCCACAAGGAGACAGAGAUGCGGCCCCUACUUCUGCGGGAGGCAAGUGUGGGGAAUAUUGGACAAGGGGGGCAACCCUGAUCCAACAAUUCUGUGUGGACGAAGACGGUUUUCGUAGUGAAAAGUGCUUUCAGCAGGGAAGAAGGGAGUGACGGUACCUGCAGAAGAAGCGACGGCUAAAUACGUG
rnacentral:rRNA from 1 species